CUGCUUUGAAUUUGAGUUCACGUUCUCCACAUGUGUGGUCCAUCGGCCCAGGGGACCUAUCCCAGAAUCCCAGAUACACGUGUGCAGGCAGAAGCAGUAGUGCAAUUCAGAAUAGCAGUGCAAGUGUGCCUCACUUUCACGGGGGAGAUGCAGGAGAAACUCCAGGGAUGUGUGCAGCGUUGACGGACAGGGGGAUAAACAGAGGGAUUGUCCCUGACCUCCCAACACCAGUCUGGAGGAAGACGAAUAGCCCCCCAAUGGGCCCUGAGCAGAUAAAAUACACCCUACCGUCUUCAACACCAGGUGUGACAGCCAUCAGGGGUGGCCUAUCAGCAGGAGGUACAGAGAAGGGGAGUGAAGUGCGCUUGGCCUGCUUGCUGGAUGUCUAGUGAAGCCCAAGGCCACAAGCAACGAGACCUGUCCAUCAGUGGCAGUUAUUAGGGGAGACCACCGGUGAACCAGGGCCAUUUGGUGGGCCUAAUAACAACGUGAAUGGGAGAGCUGAGGGACAGGAAGUGCAGCCAGACAGGCCGGUGCUGAGAAAAGCACUUUCAGCGAGGGAGGCCUCCUUGGAAAAAACAAUGACAAGGCCUAUAUCAGCCUGAAACACUCCCAUGGCUUACUUCCAGAUGACAACUCAGUGCUAUCACUUGAUGCUUUUUCUUAAAGAUUGAAACAGUAAUGGUGGAAAAGUCUCAGAAAAUAAUCACAACUCCUGUAAAAUAAAAUAUCCUCUCAUUUCACAAUGAUGAACAGGUAAUCAUGAAAACAACUGCAACUACAAGGACGACUAACGGAUUAUACUGUAUCUGUCGUCCUCUCUUGUAAUCCAGGUGCUUGGUUGGAACCAAAGCCACUUUGACAGUAAAGAUUUGAGACCCCACGUGUUUUAACUGCCCAUCAACAUGGGAGGCUUUCAUUUUACAGCCUGGGGUUUAUUGCACGACAGCUUAAACGUAGCUCAGGUUUCACGCAGGACUGUUUCACUGUUCUGCCUCUCUCCUCUCCUGACUGAAGUGUAAAUGGGAAAAGAGGCAUCUUGGCUCAGGGAACCAGUGUGAUCCAAGAGAUGACAUUUUAAGUGAUCUUUGA